GGGUGUGAGGACAAUCUUGCUACAAUAUCUAUUAUUACACUGAUCUCCAGGUGAUUUCUAGGUAGGUGUCUUCUGCCCUCCUCACUGUUCCAUGUGCAUCCCUUCUGAAGCUUUGUCCUAGGUUGAAGAGAACAGCUUUCACUGACUAGAAGAGGCCUGAUCUUAUAUCAAGGUUAUAUGAGUAGCUUGUGCUCCUCUGCUAGAACCUCCAAACAAGUGCUCAAGGUGUCAUUUCUUAAGAUCUGUUCAAUUUAAUUUUUGCGAUGUGUUUCUCAUUUGUUUAGAAC
rfam:Cricetulus griseus cell line CHO-K1, whole genome shotgun sequence.